rnacentral:rRNA from 1 species
GACGAACGCUGGCGGCGUGCUUAACACAUGCAAGUCGAACGGUGAAGCGCCUUCCUUUUUGGUGGGUGUGGAUGAGUGGCGAACGGGUGAGUAACACGUGAGUAACCUGCCCCCUUCUUCUGGAUAACCGCAUGAAAGUGUGGCUAAUACGGGAUAUUCUGGGUCUGUCGCAUGAUGGGUCUGGGAAAGAUCUUGUUUCGGUGGGGGAUGGGCUCGCGGCCUAUCAGCUUGUUGGUGGGGUGAUGGCCUACCAAGGCGGUGACGGGUAGCCGGCCUGGGAGGGUGGACGGCCACACUGGGACUGAGACCCGGCCCAGACUCCGACGGGAGGCAGCGGAGGGGAAUAUUGUACAAUGGGCGCAAGCCUGAUGCAGCGACGCGGCGGGAGGGAUGGAGGCGUUCGGGUUGUGAACCUCUUUCGCCAGUGAAGCAGGCCUGCCUCGUAUGUGGGUGGGUUGACGGUACCUGGAUAAGAAGCGCCGGCUAACUACGUG